rnacentral:rRNA from 2 species
CCUGGUUGAUCCUGCCAGUAGUCAUAUGCUUGUCUCAAAGAUUAAGCCAUGCAUGUCUAAGUACAAGCCUCACUAAGGUGAAACCGCGAAUGGCUCAUUAAAUCACACCUAAUGUACUGGACAGUCUCAGUUACUUGGAUAACUGCGGUAAUUCUGGAGCUAAUACAUGCGUACUAGCCGCGACUCACGGAGCGGUGCUUUUAUUAGAUCAAAACCAAACGGCCUCGAGCCGUCCCCCUGGUGAUUCUGAAUAACUUUGGGCUGAUCGCACGGACUCGUUCCGGCGACGUGUCCUUCCAAGGUGUGCCCUAUCAACUGUCGACUGUGGCAUAGACGCCCACAGUGGUUUUGACGGGUAACGGGGAAUUAGGGUUCGAUUCCGGAGAGGGAGCCUGAGAAACGGCUACCACUUCUACGGAAGGCAGCAGGCACGCAAAUUACCCACUGGCCGAAGGCCGAGGUAGUGACGAAAAAUAACGAUACCGGACUCAUCCGAGGCCCGGUAAUCGGAAUGAGUACACUUUAAAUCCUUUAACGAGGAACAAUUGGAGGGCAAGUCUGGUGCCAGCAGCCGCGGUAAUUCCAGCUCCAAUAGCGUAUAUUAAAGUUGUUGCGGUUAAAAAGCUCGUAGUUGGAUCUCGGCGGGCAGGGGGUGGUUCGCUCUUCAGCGCUACUGCCCCGCUUUGCCCGUGUGAUUGGCGGAGGUUUCGGGGUGCUCUUCGUUGAGUGACUCGGAGCGCCGUCAGGUUUACUUUGAAAAAAUUAGAGUGCUCAAAGCAGGCUUUUCACGCUUGAAUAUUCGUGCAUGGAAUAAUGGAAUAGGAACUCGUUUCUAUUUUGUUGGUUUUCGGAAAUCGAGUUAAUGAUUAACAGGGACAAUUGGGGGCAUUAGUAUUCAGACGACAGAGGUGAAAUUCUUGGACCGUCUGAAGACUGACUACUGCGAAAGCAUUUGCCAAGAGUGUUUUCAUUAAUCAAGAACGAAAGUUAGAGGUUCGAAGGCGAUCAGAUACCGCCCUAGUUCUAACCAUAAACGAUGCCAGCUAGCGAUCUGCCGAGUUUUUUUUGUAGGCUCCGCAGGAAGCUUUCGGGAAACCAAAGCUUUUGGGUUCCGGGGGAAGUAUGGUUGCAAAGCUGAAACUUAAAGGAAUUGACGGAAGGGCACCACCAGGAGUGGAGCCUGCGGCUUAAUUUGACUCAACACGGGAAAUCUCACCAGGCCCGGACACUGG